GACGAACGCUGGCGGCGUGCUUAACACAUGCAAGUCGAACGGAAAGGCCCUGCUUUUGGGGGGUUCUCGAGUGGCGAACGGGUGAGUAACACGUGAGUAACCUGCCCUUGACUUGGGGAUAACUUCAGGAAACGGGGGCAAAUACCGUAUAGGAGCUCCUGCUGCAGGGGGGGGGUUGGAAAGUUUCGGCGGUUGGGGAUGGCCGCGGGGCUUAUCUGCUUGUGGGGGGGGUAGUGGCUUACCAAGGGUUUGAUGGGUGGCCGGCCUGGGGGGGGGACCGGCCCAAUUGGGGCUGGAGACGGGCCCGAACUCGUCCGGGGGGAGGCAGUGGGGAAAUUUGACCAAUGGGGCGAGCCCGGAGCAGGGAACCCCGGGGGGGGGGGACCGGCCUUCGGGUUGUAACCCGCUUUCGCCUGUGACGAAGCGUUAGUGACGGUAAUGGGUAAAGAAGCACCGGCUAACUACGUG
rnacentral:rRNA from 1 species